AACGAACGCUGGCGGCAGGCUUAACACAUGCAAGUCGAGCGCCCCGCAAGGGGAGCGGCAGACGGGUGAGUAACGCGUGGGAAUCUACCCAUCUCUACGGAAUAACUCAGGGAAACUUGUGCUAAUACCGUAUACGCCCUUAGGGGGAAAGAUUUAUCGGAGAUGGAUGAGCCCGCGUUGGAUUAGCUAGUUGGUGGGGU
rnacentral:rRNA from 1 species